UUUGCUUUUUAAAAUAUUAAUCGUAAAAAGUCUGUAUGAUAUCUUUCCUUAUCAGAUUAAUACCAGAUAAGCUUUCUAUGUGAAGACAUAUAUUAAAGGGAACUUUGAAACUGGGAGAUGUAAUAUGGGCUUGUUCUUUCCACUCCACACAUCAGUCUCAGUAUUGAAGGACUUCUGGAAAUGGUUUACCUCCC